rnacentral:lncRNA from 1 species
CUGCCCCCGCGCAGGGCCCCUCGGGCCGCGGCGGCCCCGCUGCUCCCCCGUGGUGCCGGCUGACCCCCGCCCGCCGCCCUUUCGCCUUGCUGACAGCUGUCCCGACCGCUGGGCGCGGGCGGCUCGCUGUAGACCCCUCCCGCCGGCAAAAACAAGGGGAUACUGGAGACACUGAGACGUUAACGCCGCUCUGGGAGGCUCCUCUCUCCUUCUUAAUACGGCGGCUGGGACAAGGAAGCAGACUGGCCCCCGAAAGCAGUAGUAAACUAAGAAAUUCGUUCGUUUAAAAGGAAUACGGUGCAAGAGCUUUCUAGAUUGUUCUCUGCUCCCACAAUGGUUAGGAAAUAAUUAGCUUACAAAAGGAAAACAGGGCCCUCAAGGUGUUUGCAUCAUUUCAGGAGGGAGAGCUUUCAGAAAACCACCAAAUUUUGCAAGAAUUGCCAUGAAGUCGGAAGAGGUAGCAAUAGUGCUGUCAUGGAGACAAGGCUUGGCAUCGCCCACUUUUCCAUUUACCUCCCCCCCCCCCCGGGAGUCGCCAGUCCGAGUGAGUGAUCAUAAUAAUUAAUAGCGUUUAUACAUAUUCAGAGUGCUUUACAAACAAUACCUAAUCUCAUUAACUUGUGAAUUGACUUGUUGUUUUUAUCCUAUCCUAGAAUUAAGAUGGUUAUUGCUUCUUUCACAUCCUGGAAAGAUGGAAUCAGUAAUUUGUUCAUAUACAGGCUAAUCUAUUGCUGCCAUCCGGUAUAUGGCCACCUGCUAUGCGUACUUCCUUACUUCUAAUAGAGCUGCAGACUGCCGAGAAUAUAGAUACCAGGAUCCAAGACACCUGAGCAGUCCAGAUUAAAUGAGCAGGCUGAAAAGAUAGCACUGACAUGGUAUCGAGCUCAUUCAGUUUGAACUGGCGUGAAUGAAAGGAAAAUGAAGUGCCAAACGCCACCCCUCUGCAAAGUUUUCAGCUGAUUCUUCCUCCUGCACAGAAGAAAUCAAGGAUUUCACCUCAUCAUGAUUCCCCAGAGCUCCACAGAAGGGGGCUCUUCUGGCUCCAGAGAUCUGCGCAUGACAAGAGAGGGGACAGCAGGAGACACUGGGACUCAGAAAGGUGCACAUCUUCCCUGCUUUCUCACCUCCACAGUUUGCAGCAUACAGUCAUGAGCAGAGGUUCUGCUUUUGUGUUGAUUUUCUGUUCCCGGCAAACUGAGUGCCUCGGGAAGGAGGGAGCUAGCAUACCAAGUUCCUG